GGGUCAUUUAGUUCGGUCUGAGCCGAAGAAGUGUCAGACAUCCCCCCUCCUCAGUCUAUGGUUUGUCCUAGAGGGGAUGUUGGAAUUUCCGAUAAUUGGACACGUCAUAUCCGGACGGUUCUGAGAUGCCGGUUAUAUUGAAUUGCUUUCUACUAUCCUCUCUCUUAAGAUGACCCUCACAAACCUGUGAGGCUGGAAUAUGUGUAUAAACACAGAUAAUUGUUCAAGUUGAUCUCCUAAACAUAUGCCUUACCUAGAUCUACUCUGGGAGUUGGAAACUUGAAUCGAUGUUAUCGGAUGAGUUAGAAUCUAAACCAGAGUUGCUGGUUCAGUUUGUUCAGAACACAUCUAUCCCACUAGGACAGGGGCUCGUGGAAUCAGAACCUAAAGAUAUUACCUGUCUGUCUCUUCUUCCUGUUACAGAAUCCCCAGAAUGCAACAGGUUGAUGUUGCCAGAUGAUUCCCCAAAUCAUACUGACCCUUCCAAGGAUGUUUCUUCGGCUGUUCUGCGAAGCCUUCAAGUAAAUGUUGGCCCCGAUGGUGAGGAGACAAGGGCACAAACAGUACAGAAACCACCUGAACUUCUUCCAAGUACUUCUAGCUUAUUGCAAGAUCUUCAGCCUAGUGAUAACACUUCCUUUAUUCUCCUCAAUUUAACACGAACAGGCCUAGGGUCUCCUUCAGAGCACCUGGUAUUUGUCCAGGGUGAAGCGGAGGUUUCUGGGAAUGAUUUCUUUGCGAAUAAUAGCACAGACAGCAGUACCCCAUGGUUUUUACGAGUGCAGGAACUGGCUCAUGAUAGUUUGAUUGCUGCCACUCGAGCACAGCUCGCUAAGAAUGCCAAAGCAAGCAAUAAUGGUGAAAUUGUCCAUGUUUGUUCAGGAGAAUCACAGCCGAAGGAAUCCAGCCCCAUUCCUCACCUACCCCGUGGAGAAAAAAAAUUGAAGUGCACUGUUGAAGGCUGUGAUCGGACAUUUGUAUGGCCAGCUCACUUCAAAUAUCAUCUAAAAACCCACAGGAAUGAUCGUUCUUUCAUAUGUCCAGCAAAAGAUUGUGGGAAAAGCUUUUAUGUCUUACAAAGAUUGAAGGUGCACAUGAGAACACAUAAUGGCGAGAAACCAUUCAUUUGCACUGAACUAGGCUGUGGGAAGCAAUUCACAACAGCUGGGAAUCUGAAGAAUCAUCUGCGAAUUCACACUGGGGAAAAGCCCUUUUUAUGUGAGGCUCAGGGCUGUGGUCGUUCCUUUGCUGAAUAUUCCAGCCUUCGGAAACAUCUAGUUGUCCAUUCAGGACUAAAGCCACACCAAUGUCAAAUCUGUGGGAAGACAUUUUCUCAGAGUGGUAGUAGAAAUGUACACAUGAAGAAACAUCAUUCCAGAGUUGGAACAACUAGCAGUAGGCAACAUGAGCAAACAGAAUCACUGAUGGGCAGCAAUUUGUUGGAAGAAUCUGAACUACACAGUAAGAACCUGGUGUCAAUGAACUCUCCACCUAGCCUUGGUGUUGAAUCUUUGCACUUGCCGGAUCCGGAAUCAAUCAUUGGUAUAAAGGAAGAGGUUCUAGCUGAAGCAGCAGCAAAUUCUCUUCAUGAUGCAUCUGAUGUGGUUUUGCCAUCUCAUCAUCUAUUGCCCAUGUCAACAUCAAGGCACUCUUACGGCGUGUCAUCUUUACUACAAUAAAUUUUCAGGCAAUCAAACACCAGCUGGCGCUGAAGUCCAAAAACCAGUUCCAGAUCAUACAUUGAGCAAGUCCCAUGAGCCCACUUCUGGAGGAGUGGGAAGGAGAUACCCACUUCAGAAUGCUCUGUCCUCACUGUAGAAAAAGGACCUUCAUGGUAGAAAAUUGAUUUGGCAAUCUGAUCUCAGGACUAUAGCUAUAACAACAAGUAUUUACAGAAUGACAUUUGCAACUAUUCCUUACAACUUGUUGGAUGGAUCUCUAAUUAUAAAUGUUCAGUUACAGAAGAACAACAAAUCCGUGACAUACCAAAUAUACGACAUGAAGCUAAAGAACAGGCUAUUGUGAUGCUCAAGUUGUUUGAAAUUUGAAUUCCCAGAAUGUGCAGUGCCUCUGAUGUACUUCUCAUGACCUGGAGGCGAAGAGGCCUGGACUAUGGUUAUACUUCAGUCAGUAAAAACUUUGUUUCCUAAGAACAGAUGGAACAGCAGCUAUUAAUUUUGGAAUUCACGUUUAACCUGGUGUCCAAAAGCCAGGAGAUAAUGUUCUUGUACCUAGUUCAAAGCCAGGUUAUUUUUUUUUCUUUCUUGAAGUGACCAUAAGCUCAACAUUAUAUUGGCUUGUUCUUCUUGGAGGAGUAUCUUUAGAUAGUAAUAAAUUCUGCACCAAGGUGCUGCAGUUCUGGUUUUACUUCUGAAUUAUAGAGGCAGUUUGGUGGUACUCUUUGAGCUGGAAUUUCUGCAUCCCCAUGCUUUGUGUGGAUAUGUUCACUAAUACUGCUUUUGCUCCAAACUGAAGACCUCACACUAUUCAGCAGAUUGCCUAGCUCACUCUUGCUUCUUGCUGUGGUAUUUUAAUUUCUAAUUAUUAGGUUUAUUAGAGUUUUAAUUUAAAAAAAAUCAAAGAUAGAAACUAUUCAGUGGCAUUCUGUUGUAAAUAAACGACAUACUUCCAUUCCCAAAA